UAGGGAAUCUUCGGCAAUGGGGGCAACCCUGACCGAGCAACGCCGCGUGAGUGAAGAAGGUUUUCGGAUCGUAAAGCUCUGUUGUAAGAGAAGAACGUGUGUGAGAGUGGAAAGUUCACACAGUGACGGUAACUUACCAGAAAGGGACGGCUAACUACGUGCCAGCAGCCGCGGUAAUACGUAGGUCCCGAGCGUUGUCCGGAUUUAUUGGGCGUAAAGCGAGCGCAGGCGGUUUAAUAAGUCUGAAGUUAAAGGCAGUGGCUUAACCAUUGUUCGCUUUGGAAACUGUUAAACUUGAGUGCAGAAGAGGAGAGUGGAAUUCCAUGUGUAGCAGUGAAAUGCGUAGAUAUAUGGAGGAACACCGGUGGCGAAAGCGGCUCUCUGGUCUGUAACUGACGCUGAGGCUCGAAAGCGUGGGGAGCAAACAGG
rnacentral:rRNA from 1 species